UUUUGACGGUACCUGUCCUUAAGUAUAGCAGUGUGCUAAACAUCGAGAGUGCGACAGGGGCAAAAACUCCCUCCAGCGUCCCCAGUGAGCGCCUCGAUGACUCGUCUCCGCGACCCCCUUCCGGUCCCCGAGAUUCGUCAUCUGAGCGUCGUCUGCCACAGCAAAUGAACCAACUCAAGAUCGUGGAUAAAAAGUGUUGCAGUGUGUGGAGCUCAGACUUAUCUUCAGGCAAAGUAUCACCGAAACUUUUGUAUCCACUUCUCUUAGCUCGAGCAUCAUCGAUCACUCUGUCAAGUUCCACAGUCAUAUUUUUGGGGGGUUACCUAAUGAAUUGAAAAAUGAAAUUGUGAGCACGAUUCAGGCAACACCAAAAGCACAAUGCACGGACUUUUCGAUGUCCAAGACCUAUGUACAUGUAUAUUUCAUUUCCGCGGCCAAGAUUAGCAAGGUCGUUGAAAGGAAAACAUUUCCGGAUGUGAUAUACGGAUGCAACGUGAAUUCACAAAAAGUGGUCACCCACACUUAAAUCCCAUAUGUAAACAAAGUUUCUGUUCAGUAAACUCCAGUCGAAGCGAG
rnacentral:sRNA from 1 species